rnacentral:rRNA from 1 species
AUUGAACGCUGGCGGAAUGCUUUACACAUGCAAGUCGAGCGGAGAGAGGUAGCUUGCUACUGAUCUUAGCGGCGGACGGGUGAGUAAUGCUUAGGAAUCUGCCUAUUAGUGGGGGACAACAUUUCGAAAGGAAUGCUAAUACCGCAUACGUCCUACGGGAGAAAGCAGGGGAUCUUCGGACCUUGCGCUAAUAGAUGAGCCUAAGUCGGAUUAGCUAGUUGGUGGGGUAAAGGCCUACCAAGGCGACGAUCUGUAGCGGGUCGGAGAGGAUGGUCCGCCACACUGGGACUGAGACACGGCCCAGACUCCUACGGGAGGCAGCAGUGGGGAAUAUUGGACAAUGGGAGGAAGCCUGAUCCAGCCAUGCCGCGUGUGUGAAGAAGGCCUUAUAGUUGUAAAGCACUUUAAGCGAGGAGGAGGCUGCUUUAGUUAAUACCUAGAGAUAGUGGACGUUACUCGCAGAAUAAGCACCGGCUAACUCUGUGCCAGCAGCCGCAGUAACAC